rnacentral:rRNA from 1 species
CAAGGAAUUUUCCCCAAUGGGCGCGAGCCUGAGGGAGCAACGCCGCGUGCAGGACGACGGCCUUCGGGUUGUAAACUGCUUUUGCGUGGGACGAUAACGACGGUACCACGCGAAUCAGCCCCGGCUAACUCUGUGCCAGCAGCCGCGGUAAUACAGAGGGGGCAAGCGUUGUCCGGACUUACUGGGCGUAAAGCGCACGCAGGUGGUAGCGCAAGUGGGGUGUGAAAGCCCAGGGCUUAACCCUGGAAUUGCAUUCGAUACUGCUUAACUAGAGUAUGGUAGAGGGAAGUGGAAUUUCCGGUGUAGCGGUGAAAUGCGUAGAUAUCGGAAGGAACACCAGUGGCGAAGGCGACUUCCUGGGCCAAUACUGACGCUGAGGUGCGAAAGCGUGGGGAGCAAACAGGAUUAGAUACCCCUGUAGUCC